UACAGAGGUCUCAACCGUUGUUCGGAUUCAUUGGGCGUAAAGGGUGCGUAGGCGGUCGCGCAAGUCGGAUGUGAAAUCUCAGGGCUCAACCCUGAAACUGCAUUCGAUACUGCGUGGCUAGAGUGCUGGAGAGGAGACUGGAAUUUACGGUGUAGCAGUGAAAUGCGUAGAUAUCGUAAGGAAGACCAGUGGCGAAGGCGAGUCUCUGGACAGCAACUGACGCUGAGGCACGAAAGCGUGGGGAGCGAACAGG
rnacentral:rRNA from 1 species